rnacentral:rRNA from 1 species
CUGCUCAAUGAAAACAUUUAAAUAGCCGCAGUACUUUGACAGUGCUAAGGUAGCAUAAUCAAUUCGUCUUUUAAUUAGAGACUGGAAUGAAUGAAAUCAUGAUUAAAUUCUAUAUUAUUUAUAUUUAGUAAAAAUUAUUUUUUUAGGUGAAAAUACCUAUAAAUAUUUAUUAGACGAGAAGACCCCAGGAAUUUGAAUUAUUUUUUAUUGGGGCGAUAAAUAAACAGUUUUAAACUUUAUUUUUUUUAUUAAGCGAGAUAUUCUAAUAAGAGAAAAAUUACCCUGGGGAUAACAGCAUAAUUUUUUAUAAAGAUUGUGACCUCGAUGUUGGAUUAGAAAACUUUCUACUUAGAGAGUAGAUUUGUUUUUGUUCUGUUCGAACAAUUUUUUUUAAUUAUUUUCUACGUGAUCUGA